GACGAACGCUGGUGGCGUGCCUAAUACAUGCAAGUAGAACGCUGAAGAGAGGAGCUUGCUCUUCUUGGAUGAGUUGCGAACGGGUGAGUAACGCGUAGGUAACCUGCCUUGUAGCGGGGGAUAACUAUUGGAAACGGUAGCUAAUACCGCAUAACAAUGGAUGACACAUGUCAUUUAUUUGAAAGGGGCAAUUGCUCCACUACAAGAUGGACCUGCGUUGUAUUAGCUAGUAGGUGAGGUAACGGCUCACCUAGGCGACGAUACAUAGCCGACCUGAGAGGGUGAUCGGCCACACUGGGACUGAGACACGGCCCAGACUCCUACGGGAGGCAGCAGUAGGGAAUCUUCGGCAAUGGGGGCAACCCUGACCGAGCAACGCCGCGUGAGUGAAGAAGGUUUUCGGAUCGUAAAGCUCUGUUGUAAGUCAAGAACGAGUGUGAGAGUGGAAAGUUCACACUGUGACGGUAGCUUACCAGAAAGGGACGGCUAACUACGUGCCAGCAGCCGCGGUAAUACGUAGGUCCCGAGCGUUGUCCGGAUUUAUUGGGCGUAAAGCGAGCGCAGGCGGUUUGAUAAGUCUGAAGUUAAAGGCUGUGGCUCAACCAUAGUUUGCUUUGGAAACUGUCAAACUUGAGUGCAGAAGGGGAGAGUGGAAUUCCAUGUGUAGCGGUGAAAUGCGUAGAUAUAUGGAGGAACACCGGUGGCGAAAGCGGCUCUCUGGUCUGUAACUGACGCUGAGGCUCGAAAGCGUGGGGAGCAAACAGGAUUAGAUACCCUGGUAGUCCACGCCGUAAACGAUGAGUGCUAGGUGUUGGGAUCCUUUUCGGGACUCAGUGCCGCAGCUAACGCAUUAAGCACUCCGCCUGGGGAGUACGACCGCAAGGUCUGAAACUCAAAGGAAUUGACGGGGGCCCCGCACAAGCGGUGGAGCAUGUGGUUUAAUUUCAAGCAAACGCGAAGAACCUUACCCAGGUCCUGACCAUCCCCGAUGCUAUUUCUAAGAGAAAGAAAAGUUACUUCGGUACCAUCGGGGACCGGGGGGUGCAUGGUUUGUCGUCAGCCUCUGUUGUGAAGAGUUGGGGUAAAGUCCGCCAACGAGGCCACCCCCUAUGGUUGGUGCCCUCCAUUCAGUGGGCCACUCUAGGGAGACGCCGGGUAAUAACCCGAAGGAAGGUGGGGAGGACGUCAAAUCAUCAUCCCCCUUAUGACCUGGGCUACACACGUGCUACAAUGGUUGGUACAACGAGUUGCAAGUCGGUGACGGCAAGCUAAUCUCUUAAAGCCAAUCUCAGUUCGGAUUGUAGGCUGCAACUCGCCUACAUGAAGUCGGAAUCUCUGGUAAUCGCGGAUCAGCACGCCGGCGGUGAAUACGUUCCUCUUUACCG
rnacentral:rRNA from 1 species